AUACGGAGGGUGCAAGCGUUGUUCGGAAUUAUUGGGCGUAAAGAACGUGUAGGCGGGUCUGUAUGUCAGAUGUGAAAGCCCUCGGCUCAACCGAGGAAGUGCAUCUGAAACUGCAUAUCUUGAGUACGAGAGAGGAGAGUGGAAUUCCCAGUGUAGAGGUGAAAUUCAUAGAUAUUGGGAAGAACACCGGCGGCGAAAGCGGCUCUCUGGCUCGAUACUGACGCUGAGACGUGAAAGCGUGGGGAGCAAACAGGAUUAGAUACCCUGGUAGUCCACGCCGUAAACGAUGUGCACUAGGUGUUGGAGGUAAUAAAACCUUCAGUGCCGCAGCUAACGCAUUAAGUGCACCGCCUGGGGAUUACGGUCGCAAGAUUAAA
rnacentral:rRNA from 1 species